ACGCACGCUGGCGGCGUGCCUAAUACCUGCAAGUAGAACGCUGAAGGAGGAGCUUGCUCUUCUGGAUGAGUUGCGAACGGGUGAGUAACGCGUAGGUAACCUGCCUGGUAGCGGGGGAUAACUAUUGGAAACGAUAGCUAAUACCGCAUAACAGUAGAUGUUGCAUGACAUUUCCUUAAAAGGUGCAAUUGCAUCACUACCAGAUGGACCUGCGUUGUAUUAGCUAGUUGGUGGGGUAACGGCUCACCAAGGCGACGAUACAUAGCCGACCUGAGAGGGUGAUCGGCCACACUGGGACUGGGACACGGCCCAGACUCCUACGGGAGGCAGCAGGAGGGAAUCUUCGGCAAUGGACGGAAGUCUGACCGAGCAACGCCGCGGGAGUGAAGAAGGUUUUCGGAUCGUAAAGCUCUGUUGUAAGAGAAGAACGAGUGUGAGAGUGGAAAGUUCACACUGUGACGGUAUCUUACCAGAAAGGGACGGCUAACUACGUG
rnacentral:rRNA from 1 species